GACUGCACGGCCCUGCCUCAGGUGUGUUCAAUGAACAGUCGUUCCGAAAGGAAG
rnacentral:ribozyme from 1 species